rnacentral:rRNA from 1 species
GAUGAACGCUAGCGGCAGGCCUAAUACAUGCAAGUCGAACGAGAUUAUGAGGCUUGCUUCUUAUGAAAUUGGCGCACGGGUGCGUAACGCGUAUGCAACCUACCUUAAUCAGGGGGAUAGCCCGAAGAAAUGCGUAUUAAGACCGCAUAAAAACACAGUAUAGCAUUAUCCAAUGUUCAAAUAUUUAUAGGAUUAAGAUGGGCAUGCGUGUCAUUAGCUAGUUGGCGGGGUAACGGCCCACCAAGGCGACGAUGACUAGGGGAUCUGAGAGGAUGACCCCCCACACUGGGACGGAGGCACGGCCCAGACUCCGACGGGAGGCAGCAGUGGGGAAUAUUGGACAAUGGGCGAAAGCCUGAUCCAGCAAUGCCGCGUGAGUGAUGAAGGCCUUAGGGUGGUAAAGCUCUUUUACCCGGGAGGAUAAUGACAGUACCGGGAGAAUAAGCUCCGGCUAACUCCGUG